GAAAUAUUUUAAAAAAGCUGCUAACUUUUACUUAGCAAAUUAUAUUGUUAAUAUUUCU
rnacentral:tRNA from 1 species